UUAUCAUCCCUACCAUGGCUCGCCACAGAACAUUCUGUUGGGGAACGUCGCAUGGGAAACAAAAAUUUUCCUACGCGCACGAAGACCUAUCAUGGUGAUGUCCAUCUACGAGAGGGGAUGUGUGAUCUACGUACCUUUGUAGACCGUACAGACGACGCGUUAGUGAACGCGGUUGAUGUAGUGGAACGUCCUCACGUCCGUCGAUCCGCCCCGUGAAUCGUCCCGCGAUCAGUCCCACGAUCUAGUGCCGAACGGACGGCACCUCCGCGUUCAGCACACGUACAGCUCGACGAUGAUCUCGGCCUUCUGGAUCUAGCAAGAGAGACGCAGAGGUAGAAUAGUUCUCCGGCAGCGUGACGGCGCUCCGGAGGUUGGUGAUGAUCUUGUCUCAGCAGGGCUUCGCCCGAGCUCCGCAGAAACGCGAUCUAGAGGAAAAACCGUGGAGGUAUGUGGUCGGGCUGCCGUGGAAAAAACGUCUCAAAUCAGCCCUAAAACCUCCGUAUAUAUAGGGGGAAGAGGGGGAGCCUUGCCUUGGGGCUCAAGGAGCCCCAAGGGGGUCGGCCGAGCCAAGGGGGGAAGGUCUCCCCCCCAAACCGAGUCCAACUUGGUUUGGUGGGUGGAGUCUUUCUUCCCUUUCCCACCUCCUCCUUUUUUCUUUUCUCUUUGAUUUUCUUCCUAUGGCGCAUAGGGCCUUCUUGGGCUGUCCCACCAGCCCACUAAGAGCUAGUGUGCCACCCCCAAGGCCUAUGGGCUUCCCCGGGGUGGGGUGAACCCUCGUGACGUCCGUGAUCCCAUCCGUGACUCCGAACAACAUUCGGUAACCAACCAUAUAACUCAAAUACGCAUAAAACAACGUCGAACCUUAAGUGUGCAGACCCUGCGGGUUCGAGAACUAUGUAGACAUGACCCGAGAGACUCCUCGGUCAAUAUCCAAUAGCGGGACCUGGAUGCCCAUAUUGGAUCCUACGUAUUCUACGAAGAUCUUAUCGUUUGAACCUCAGUGCCAAGGAUUCAUAUAAUCCCGUAUGUCAUUCCCUUUGUCCUUCGGUAUGUUACUUGCCCGAGAUUCGAUCGUCAGUAUCCACAUACCUAUUUCAAUCUCGUUUACCGGCAAGUCUCUUUACUCGUUCUGUAAUACAAGAUCCCGCAACGUACACUAAGUCACAUUGCUUGCAAGGCUUGUGUGUGAUGUUGUAUUACCGAGUGGGCCCCGAGAUACCUCUCCGUCACACGGAAUGACAAAUCCCAGUCUUGAUCCAUACUAACUCAACGAACACCUUCGGAGAUACCUGUAGAGCAUCUUUAUAGUCACCCAGUUACGUUGCGACGUUUGAUACACACAAAGUAUUCCUCCGGUGUUUAGUGAGUUAUAUGAUCUCAUUGUCAUAGGAACAAAUACUUGACACGCAGAAAAACAGUAGCAACAAAAUGACACAAUCAACAUGCUACGUCUAUUAGUUUGGGUCUAGUCCAUCACGUGAUUCUCCUAAUGACGUGAGCCAGUUAUCAAGCAACACCACCUUGUUCAUAAUCAGAAGACACUGACUAUCUUUGAUCAACUGGCUAGCCAACUAGAGGCUUGCUAGGGACAGUGUUUUGUCUAUGUAUCCACACAUGUAAAUGAGUCUUCAUUCAAUACAAUUGUAGCAUGGAUAAUAAACGAUUAUCUUGAUACAGGAAUUAUAAUAAUAACUAUAUUUAUUAUUGCCUCUAGGGCAUAAUUCCAACACAUUCGUCAACGUGUAAAGCUCAAAUACAUGAAGCUGGGGUGGCCGUCCGACAACCGCCAUGGACGUUAGAUGCUACUUCGAUCCGAAGCGGAGUGCCAGAUUGGCAAAGGUGCCGUCCUGAGCUGGAUGAUGAUGACUGGGACUCAAAGGGGGUAAUGCUUGAAUUUCACAAGCAGACACAAAUCUGCAACUCAUAGAGACAUUAGAUCAAUUAUGCGAUGACCACUGUUUUCUCGCACCGACCAUGGAGGAUUAUUUGACAACUUUGUGGUGUUAUUUUCCAAGGAGAAUGGUGUCGUAGGUCGGGUUCUGUCUAUUGUAGUCAUACUAGAUGAUGGGCUUUUGCAUUCGGAGAUGGGGUACGGUGCUCGGUUGGAGCCACAAGUGAUCGGGGUCUUAGAUGAAGGACGACGUACCAUUUUCUUGAACAUGACGAUGGGUAUUUUCAUGGCAAAACCAAUGUCUAGGCAGCAUUUGUGAGUUAUUAUUCAAGCGGACCAGCUACCUUUCUCAUGUGUUUGUCACUACUCAACCUUCUAUACUACAGGUACAAUUACUUUACAACAUAUAUAAAUAGCUGGGGAGUAAUUUAUAUUGUGUACGAAAUGCAGAUCAAAGUUUUUCAUAUCUCCAUAAAUAUUGAUUAGCAAAAGUCUUCAAUUUCAUGAAUUACAUCACAUGUCCUACUGUUUGACUAACUAAUGUUUGAAGAGACCUACGUACGUAUUUGUUGUCUUUUUAGGAAAAGGCUUACGAUACGCCAUAUGCAAAAACAUGUAGAGAAGUUUGUGUGUGUGUGUUACAUACUAGGUCAUGGAAACAUGUAGAGAAAUGUGUGUUACAUACUUCUUCACCCAGGUCAUGAAAACUUGUAAAAAAGUGUGUUUUACAUACUUCUACGCCCAGGUCAUGGAACCAUGCAAAAAUGCGUGUGUUACAUAUUUUAGUUGUGUAAUUUGUUUUCUUGAAAUCCCAUAGCCGUUUGUUCCCAGUGCAUAUCUAAUGCCACAAUGAUACGCAGGGAACAUGUAUUGGAGUCUCGUCUCACCUUUAUUUAAAUUUGAGAUUAAUCAGUGAGCUACUUGUUGGUACUAGCCAAACUUUUGUGUCUAAUGCAAGAUCUUCCACCUACAUGAUAUAUGUCUAAUGCAAAUUUAAGCAUAGUGCUUAUCUAUUUGGUAUUGUGCUGUUUUUCAUUUGUAUUAUUAAACUUAUGUUUUUGUCUAUUUGCUUGAUUAUUUAGAAUGACCUCACUAUAUUGGCCGAGUAUUGUACUAGUGCAUAGAUUUUAUAUGUGGCCACUUAGAACAUGUUUACAAAAUACUAACAUAUGAAAGCCCACACAUACGAUCUAGUGUGUGUAUGUUCAAAGCCCACACAAACCUCUCUCACAUGAAUAAUCCUCCCCUAAUUAAUAGCAUUACUAGCAUACCCAAUAUCCAUACUUGUGGCAACCAAUUAAUUAUAUCCAACCUAAUAUGAACAUGCAAUUAAUAUUUUCAAAAAUAUUAGUGUGCAACAUAAUUACUGUAUUGUCUAAUAUUAACAUGCAUUAAAGGCACACAAUUAAUGUGCAAUGCAAUAUAUAUCUACUAAUAUUAGCAUGCAUUGCAAGCACACAAUUAGUGUGCAAUGCAAUAUAUAUGCACACGAUUGCUAGUCAAUUUAAAUGGUUGCAAUCAAACAACAUAUCGGAUCGGAUG
rnacentral:lncRNA from 1 species